rnacentral:lncRNA from 1 species
CCCCACCAUUGCCGCGCUGGGCAGACCUCCGUUCACCGGCAAAAUACUCCAUACCCCGGCCAUCCCCCUCCAAUAGAUUGAGCCUGAACCUUCCCCACUCACCCAGCAACAUCCUCGACCCCUCAACGCCGCCCACCGGCCAUCCCUUGGCCGGAAUCAAAGCUUUUCCCUAAAAUCAGAAACUUUCCAACAGCCACCUCCACCCCAACAUGGCGCCCUGUCUUCCAGCCUGCCUCGUCCUCAACCAAGUGCACAAAUGGAACUGUGGUGACCUCUAGAUGCUCAGGCGCUCACCAUUCCGCCGUCCAAACCUUGUUUCCAUGGUCGAUUUCGACCAUGUCGCCGGUGUGCGCACCAUGCCCGUGGAGACCCUGUCUGCGCCGCCCCUUCCUCCUUGCCG